UGGGGAAUAUUGGACAAUGGGGGCAACCCUGAUCCAGCAAUGCCGCGUGAGUGAAGAAGGCCUUCGGGUUGUAAAGCUCUUUUGUUAGGGAAGAUAAUGACGGUACCUAAAGAAAAAGCCCCGGCUAACUUCGUGCCAGCAGCCGCGGUAAUACGAAGGGGGCUAGCGUUGUUCGGAAUUACUGGGCGUAAAGGGCGCGUAGGCGGUCUAUUAAGUCAGAUGUGAAAGGCCUGGGCUUAACCUGGGAACUGCAUAUGAUACUGGAAGACUAGAGGACGAGAGAGGAAAGUGGAAUUGCGAGUGUAGAGGUGAAAUUCGUAGAUAUUCGCAAGAACACCAGUGGCGAAGGCGGCUUUCUGGCUCGUUUCUGACGCUAAGGCGCGAAAGCGUGGGGAGCAAACAGGAUUAGAUACCCCCGUAGUCC
rnacentral:rRNA from 1 species